GUAGUGAUGUUUCAGUGGUAGAAUUCUCACCUUCCAUGUGAGAGACCCAGGUUCAAUUCCCGGCCAAUGCA
rnacentral:tRNA from 1 species